GGGGAAUAUUGCACAAUGGAGGAAACUCUGAUGCAGCGACGCCGCGUGAACGAAGAAGGUCUUCGGAUCGUAAAGUUCUGUCCUAGGGGACGAUAAUGACGGUACCCUAGGAGGAAGCCCCGGCUAACUACGUGCCAGCAGCCGCGGUAAUACGUAGGGGGCGAGCGUUGUCCGGAAUUAUUGGGCGUAAAGGGUUCGUAGGCGGUUAUUUAAGUCAGGUGUGAAAGGCAUGGGCUUAACCUGUGUAAGCACUUGAAACUGGAUAACUUGAGUUAAGGAGAGGAAAGUGGAAUUCCUAGUGUAGCGGUGAAAUGCGUAGAUAUUAGGAGGAAUACCAGUGGCGAAGGCGACUUUCUGGACUUAUACUGACGCUGAGGAACGAAAGCGUGGGGAGCAAAC
rnacentral:rRNA from 1 species